AAUGAUCUGAAAACCAAAGGGUGUCGAAUUCUGCAGAUCAUAUAGAGCAGGAAAAAAAAAGAAAGAAAACCAGAGUUAACAUAGUAGUGGUCCCUCUUACCGUGUCCGGAAUUGGUGGGUUCUUGGUUUCACUGACUCCAAGAAUGAGACUGCAAAACCUCGCCUGAGUGUUACGGUUCUUAAAGGUGGCCUGUCCAGAGUUUGUUCGUUUUGAUGUUGGGAGUUUCUUCCUUCUGGUGGGUUCGUGGUCCCGCUGGCUCAGGAGUGAAGGUGCAGACCUCCACGAUAAUCCACCUUGCCUCAUCAAACCAGAAAACAAUUCAAACCUGGCCUCCUUCUAACUGGAAGCCACAUUUUAAGAACUUAUUGUGAAGAACUGGAAAGCCUCCAAUAGAACAGAAGCUAAAAGCAGAAAUUAUAAAAGCUGUUACACCUACUCAGCUCUAUUACAUGUUGGAAAAACUGAACCAGAGAAACAAUUACAUACACUCUUGUCUUCUGGAAAAGCUGAAUUGGGUUUUGGUCUGAAUCAAUAGGACCCAUUAUACAGGCUGCCUUUCCAGCUCUCCAAUCAUACUUCCAAGAAAACUGCUCACUCUCAGAACCAAGGUUCAAGUUGUACAUUGGGAUUUGGGUAGAGGUAAGAGGAAACACCCUCAAAUAGAUUUGGAUCAUUCCAGAUGUCCUAUAAAUGAAGUUUGACAUUUGCUCAAGUAUCACCACCUCACUGUAAAAGCAACGAAUCUACCUUCAUUGUGAAAAUUUGGGGACUAGAAUUAAUGAGUACAGUAACCUUAUGGAUAGAACCUUCAGAGUUUUUCAUUAUCUAUGUGAAGAGAUAAUUCUAAAUUAUUUGAGAUCUAGUAUCUGUCAGCUUGGGGACUGGUGUCUAGUCCCAAGACUAGACAAAGGAAACCCUUAUUAGUAUUUUUAUUUUCCAUUUCAAAUAAAAAGGGUAUGUGUUAAAAAAAA
rnacentral:lncRNA from 1 species